UUACGGCCACAUCAUGUUGAAACAUCGGCUCCCUUACGAUCACCGAAGUUAAGCGUAGUCGAGCUUCGUCAGUAUCUAGAUGGGUGACAUCUUGAGAAUACUAGAUGUUGUAAG